GGAGAAUGGCUUCUUGCUGGAUAUCCUUCCUCUGUGAAGUCUUUCCUGCAAACCUACCUCUUCAGACAGAGAUAACUGCAAAAGGAUUAAGAAUACUGUCUCAGUUGGACAUGUCACACAGGAUGUAACUUGCUGAUAUUUGCCUGGAGAUUGUUCAUGUAUUUGUCUGCAACAGCUCAGCUGUGAGAAAAGUCUUUUUCUAGAAUACAAAUUUGAGACUUUUCUACUUUGGAGAUGCAUGUUUUCUCAAGUCUUACCUGCUCUCACCCCGUACCCAUCAAUUCCCUCAUCAGCAUUUCCAAGUGAUGCUUUGAAAUAUUCUAGAUCUUCUAGGGCAGAACCAUUUAUCUGCAGAGAAAAACAAGUCAGUGAUGAUACAUUGCUCCUCCUCUUCCUUUAGCACCUCUGUGCACAGUUUGGGUGCCGCGCUGACUGGCAGCUGUUGAUCUGCAGACAGAAGGAAAAGUGAUUCCAUAAGCAGCAUAGGUUCCAGUUCAUAAUUAGCAGGUGCACGGAGGCACCCAGGAUCCCCUAUCAGUUUUCUCUAGCUUGCUCAGAUUUGCAGAAGUAGGCAAUGCACAGAUUAUUGUUCACAGGCUGUGCUCUAGGGCAUGCUCUGCAAGAGAGCUGGGAGGAGGUGAAUUUCCCUGGUGUGGGCUCCUCUGCACAGCAAAGCAUCAGGGUGAUGCGGGUUUUAGCAAUGGUUGAAAUGUCUCCACUACUGUUUCUCCGCCCAGCCCACAAAACUAAAAUAGACUCUGGAUAAAGCCAUGGCCUUGUAGCCACCCCUUGUGCCAACUGAAUGAAAGUCAGCAGACAGUGCCUUACUGGCAAGACUAAAUGGCCAUACAUACUGUGUUUGGACAAUAUAAGGAACUGAUAAAGGACACUGAUUAGCUUUAGGAAUAUGAGAUGUAACCUUCUGCUCUUCCUGAAGAAGGAGGCAUUCAAGCAAAGCAUGCUUAUUUGCUGUGACCCAGAAGUAGGGAUGGAAGCUGAGCAAAGCAGGCCAAAGAGGUGGCCAGCAAAGAGAACUUGGAGUGACUGACAGUUGAAGUCAGCAGAGAGGUUGUAAAAUAAAUAACAGCGUAAGGAUCCAGGCAUGAAGCAGAGAAGUAAUGCAGGGUGUCAAAAUGAGCAAUUGCCAAUGGGCAGUGCAUCCAUCACACAGAUGUGACACCUCGGAGGAAUCUCACAGGUGACAGAAUGGAGAGGGCAAAGGUGGAGCGGAGAAAAGCCCCCAUGGGGCUGCAGGACCCACUUCAGGCAGAAAAUCAGAGCAUGGGAGCAAGAGGGGUCUCGGCCUUUUCCCAGGAGUCAGUUAAUCCAAUGCCAUUCAGCAGCAUAACUGCAGCAGGAAUGCAGCAUUUCAAGCGUCAAGUAAAUUUAUAUUAAAGCAACUGCAAUUAUACACAGCCUGCACUCACUCCCAUGGGUGGCUGCGGCGGGUUUGUGAUGGACUCCACUGGAAGCAGAAUUAGGAUGAUAAUCAAUACAAGCACAGCCAUCAUUCUGCAUUUUCUUAUAGCUGCCAAAGCCCACGAUAGUAUAAAGCAAAGGGCUUUUUAGAUUACAGAGCAAAGGCCUGCAGAGAUUUCAGCUACUCUUGGAAUAAUAGCAUGUGAUCAAGUCCUUUUGUGAACAACGAAAGAAGAAUUUCCCACUACGUGCAUGUAAUUCCAAUGCUACGAUAAGUUAUUUGUUUUGCUGCUGGCUGGAUCGCUGCACAGUGUUCAGAGGCAUAGCACGUUUUGGUCAAUCAAUGCAUUUCUUUUUUUCUCUCUGGUAUAAAUAUUGCUUCAUGUCUGAACUGUAUUAGUGGCAAUUGGAUGUCUGGUUUAAAAAAGCAAAACGAAUUCUGAUACUGCGCACAACCCCCUGUGCUCGAAAAUUAACCACUUUCUUCAGUUACAUGCACUACUUGGUACCUGCAAAUAUUUAAUAUAUGAAAAGUUUGCUUUUUCAGAAACAAAACAGAAAGAAGAGCAGUUUGCUGGUCCAAAUGGCAGUGGGCUGAGUUUUGGCACUGGGACAGAGGGGAUUAAUAGGGGCAAGCAGUGUUGCAGGUAGAAGCAGAAGAUUGCUCCCCCAGGGCACCUGGAGUCAGCCAGUAUGAGGGCUGCUGGCUGUGCACUGCUACUAGGCAAAGUUGAGGGCUGCAGGUGACAGCGUGAUCCCAUUGCUGAGUGGCCAGCAAGGAGCAUGACCAGCCCUUCCCAGAGCUGCAGCUUAUUCCACUCCUCUGCCUUGGAGAUUAUGGCAGGAAAAUCCUCAUUUGGCUGCUAUGCUUGGCUAACCUAGACAGAAUUUAUUUUCUAAGUAGAUAAUUUAGGGCGCGCCUGGACAAUCCCCACAAACCUCACAGAAGGAGGAUUUACACCACACAACAGCCUGGCAGCACCCAUUUUUCUUCCUGGGACUCUAUCUUGGUAGUGACAUGACCUCUGGAUUUCAGCAGAUACUCAGAGAAGUGCAGUGGGAGUUGCAUGUGAGGAGCAAGCAGCUCUAUUUGCAUCUGAAGGCAUAAACUCAUUGUUCGCUGCUUUCAUUUGAUGCCAGUGAUGGUGCUCAUUAGAAAACUUCAGUGGUUAUGAUAGAAACAGAAAAAAAUGAAUCUCAGAGACAAAUGAAAGAGGCAAUGAUCUCUCACAACGUACAGAGAACAAACAUUCAGACAGGCAUUUCCAGCACAAGAGGCCUUCACUUCCUCCAGUGUUGUUCCUUCCCACCCUGUGCCCGUGCAUUUGGUGAGCAGUUGUCACCCUCCUUGCAGACACUGUGUGCUGCCAACCCAUUCCUUCUUCCCUGUGUCCCUUUCAGAGCAUACUCUGGCAUUGCCAGUGUUCUGGGAGGAGCAGUACACACUUUGGCUUCUGGCUGCUCAAAGUCCUAAAGGAGCUUGCUAUGGAGAAGGGGAUCAUGACGACAGACAGUGGGAGUCAGAAAAGGGAGAUCCAGCUGCCUGGCUUCUCACCAGUCUCAAGGCAGUCAUCCCUCCUUCUAGUGACCAAAAGCCUUUUCCCUGAGGGCUGGUAGGAUGUUUGUGCUUUUCACAGUAUUUGUGUUCCCUCUGCAGUCUCUGGAAGAACUAAACUAACUUCAUCUCUGCAAAGUUUUCUUCUCUGGAGGCUGUAAAGCAAAUGCUGCCUCUUUUCUCUGCAGCCCCAGGCAGAUGGGAUCACUGUGCCCUUGGUGUCCCUGGGCUGAGAGCAGAGGACACACAUUGUCCUUUCUUGCUCCACUGCGUGUAUUCCUCCUGGGAAGAUGGAGAUGAGCAGGAAAGGUUGCUUGAGGCAAGGGGUUGUCCCACUCUCUCUGUGUGGCUUCACCUUGAGCACUGGGUACAGCUUUGGGCACUGCAAUAUAAGAAGGAUGUAAAGCUAUGAGGGAGUGUCUAAAGGAUGGCUACAGGGAUGGUGAAGGGUUUGAAAAGCAAGUUGCAUGAGGGGCAGCUAAGGUCCCUGGUUUGAAUUUUGAGUGGUCCAGUGUGGAGCUGGGGGUUGGACUCGAUGAUCCUUGUGGGUCCCUUCCAACUCAGGAUAUUCUGUGAUUCUGUGAUUCUAUUUCUGCCCUGCUGCUAGGGGAGCACAGCACUGCGAUGCAGUAUUGAGGCAGACUGAAUAGUUCUGAAGCAUUUGCUCAUUCACAGAGAAAAUGCUAGAGCCUGGCAAGGCACCUCCCUGCCUGCUUUCUGCUGAAUGCAAUCAGGAGCAAGGAUAGUUCUGAAAAAUGGUCAUCUAACUCUGCUAGUAUUCACUGUGACUGUGGGGGUUAAAAGGGUUUGAAUUUUCAGCGCUUUCCUGUGCAUGUGCUCCUUUGGACAACACGAUGCCUUCUCACAGCUAUUCUGCAAAUCUCUUGGCUAUGCUGGAGAGAUAAGUGACAGCAGAUUUGGGUACUGGAGGUGCCAUAGGACAGGGCAU